UUUCAUUCUAUCUAACAGCAGAUAUAUAAACAGUGCAGAAAUAACCCAGGUCCACUCUUUUUGUCCUUUUUUUUUUUUUGCAGUGCAGUUGUAUUUGUUUCAGUUGGAGUAUGGCAGAAAUGGCAGCGCCCCGAAGGCAAGAGAUGAGACCCACAGAGCUGAGCACAUCCCCAGUCCGACAGCAGUGACCCUCCUGGCAGGGCAGGGAACUGGCAGCUGCUUUGGUCUGUGACAAAAGGAGCAUCAUGCUGGAAGCACGUAGUGCUCGAUAAGAUAUUCCUUCUGUAGACACAGAAAGGAAAUAACCUUGGAGGCCAGAGGUCUACAGUCUGCAGCAAAUAAAUCAAGAAACAGAUUUGGAUAUACAUUUUUCGGCACAGAUUUUUGUAUGCUGCGUGCAUGGCUGCUGCAGAAGCCACCAUUGGUUUUGAUCAACUUCAGGAGCUUUCCUUGCUCUGCGCCGCGCAGUUCAUCCUCUCUCCAUUUCAUGCACCUGGAUCUGCUGAUAUCUGGGACUCAAUUCACAUUUUUUCCCAUAGCAGGAAAAGGUUUAAUUCUUUGUGGGGAACCCUAUUGCCAUCAAGCUUUGCGUAGGAAAUAGUUUGAUGUUGCACGCAUCCUGAUUUUCCGGAGGUUUUGCUCAGCUGCAUGUUUGCACAGCAGAAUGCUUUCUGCUGCUCUUCCUCAUAGCCAUUCUUUCAGUAAGAACUGUUUUGCUGUGACCUGACAAGCUCGUACUGUUCCAACUGCAACAACUUGCCCACACGUAUUGUGGCGUUCUGUUGAAGAGCUCCCUCAUUAUUUCAGUGCAGUGUCAAGGCUUGUUCCAUUCAACCGUGUUUGUCUUAUCUGGGGGGAGAAACAACCAACCAUUUAGAAGUGUCACCGAAGACAAUUAAUAACGUUAAAACAACACAAAGAACAGUGCCCCGUGAGGAAUGCCUUGCUGUUACGGCACUGAGGAGGAAGUGAAGUUCUGUGGCCAGGUUGGAAAUGAGCUCUGUGUUCCAGGCUGUGCGUGUGCCCAGAGCACUGGGAGGGAUGAACUGGGGAUGGGAGCACUGCUGGGCACUCCUGGGGGCUGCACUGUGGCAGCUGAGCCUCUGUGCCAUGUCGUGGGGAGGUUGGUGGGGGCUGAAGCCAUUCUCCAGCUCCAUGGCUGUUUGGAAGACCUACACGAAGCAUUUCAUAGAUACAGCAUUCCUUAUUCAUACUUUUCGUUUUUAGGCAAAUGUGGCUAAAAAGAUUAAUUUCAUAUUUUUCGACCAUUUUGAUUUUUAUGCUGCUUUAGGAGCUGGCAGGUGGAACAGAGGUAGCAAUUCCAAAUCCUCCACCUACAAGGCUUAAUUCUUCUAUCACUA
ensembl:lncRNA